CACGUAGGGUGCGAGCGUUUGUCCGGAAUUAUUGGGCGUAAAGAGCUCGUAGGCGGUGUGUCGCGUCGGCCGUGAAAACCUGCAGCUUAACUGUGGGCUUGCGGUCGAUACGGGCAUCACUGGAGUUCGGCAGGGGAGACUGGAAUUCCUGGUGUAGCGGUGAAAUGCGCAGAUAUCAGGAGGAACACCGGUGGCGAAGGCGGGACUCUGGGCCGAUACUGACGCU
rnacentral:rRNA from 1 species